UUUUCCUUGAAAGAAUAAUGUACAUUUGUUUACAAAAUUAUGUGGGUCAAUUGAAGUGUUUUAAUACUUUGGCAUUAAACUUAUAGAUUCUCAAAUAAGAUAUGCAAGUAUAUUGUCUAUUUUAGUAUUCCUGAUAUGAUAACUUCACAUAUUAGUAAAAGUCAGGCCUAUAUUAAAUAUCUGCAUGUUGGAACUCUUAAAAUUCAUUUAGAUAAAGAUUUUUUCUGUUCAGAUCUGGAUUUAUAUGUUUGUUACGUUUUAUCCUAUUCUUGAAUCUUUUCCUACCCUGUAGUUUACUUUCCAUUACGGUCAAAGAGGGAAUUCAUUGAAACCAGUAAUUUUUAUGGUCCUUUUUUCUCACCUACUGUGUACCUUUUCACUGGAGUAGUUUCAAGGAAGGUACUGAAUUAAGGAUUCCUUUUCAUACUAUUGUGC
rnacentral:lncRNA from 1 species